AGAAGGGAAUUUAUCACUGUAACUGGAUACAGGGAGAAGGCUGGAGAUAAUUCCAGCAGACCAACUCAAAGUGCUACAAUUUUCUUAGUGUUUAUAUAGGUUGGGGUUAUGUGCCUACAUGCAGUACAGCAAUCACCUAAGUCUACUGGUAACUAAUUUUGUUUCAAGGAGAAGGUCAGAGGCAAAAAAAAUGCUUGCUAAGUCCGAUUAAAAGGGGCCCAGUGCCUUCAAGGCCUGUCUACUGUGGUACCGGAGUGAUUAUUUCGAUUUUAUCUCCUUUACAGCUUGGUCCAGAGAGCUGCCUUAGACUAUCCAAUCAAUCUAUUCAAACAGCUGCCUGUUCCCCUAACUUGUCUUCAGAUUUUGUCGACCCGAGAUGGGUCCUGGCACUAGGAAUGUAAAACCGUUCCUAUUAUUUUGGCUUGCUCCAGCAAAAGAGAAGCCCAUGCAAGGCUCCUGCUGACCAUGUUUCAUUUCUAGCUUUGAUGUCUGGGCACUGAUUUCCCUAGAUUUAACUAUGUGCUCAAUGGUAAGGCAGUGCUGUGGAAAUCUGUCUGUGUAACUGGGGUGCUAUGCAGGCCUGUCUGGGUGACUGUCAGGGACAACUGUCCUACCACACCAAGGACACAGCCCUGGGGGUGCUUUUCUUCAUAGCCCAAAGAAGCUGCAGGAAACCCACCCUAGUGGGACAAAGACCAAUGCAGGGUCAGUCCCCACAGCCAGGUGAUGCAAACAGGCUGGACGUGGGCCGCCUCCCCUCCAGCUUGACUUGUGACAGGGAAACCAACGCAAGCAGCAGCAGCAGGGCCACCAGAGUCCUGUCCUGGGGACAGGCUUCCUUCCAGCGGGCGGGGAGUGGGUGCUCCUGCCAGACCAGCCUGGCUUCCACGGUUCCAGAGACCCUGUUCCCCCUCAGCCCAGUCCCCGCCCCCACUCCUUGGCUUUAUGAGUUCAUUGGCUGAAGUCACCCAGAGACAAUGCUGAGUGUUCCACCCCUGAGUGGAAGCCCAGCCCAGGGCAGCCCAGCCAGACGCCUCCGGUAGUGUAAAUGAGGACAAUGCCUGCUGGCCCACAUGACGGGGGGAUGUAGACGGCAGCGGCGCCAGUCGCUCCUGGCACCAUGGACGAUGCCACAGUCCUAAGGAAGAAGGGUUACAUCGUAGGCAUCAAUCUUGGCAAGGGUUCCUACGCAAAAGUCAAAUCUGCCUACUCUGAGCGCCUCAAGUUCAAUGUGGCUGUCAAGAUCAUCGACCGCAAGAAAACACCUACUGACUUUGUGGAGAGAUUCCUUCCUCGGGAGAUGGACAUCCUGGCAACUGUCAGCCACGGCUCCAUCGUCAAGACUUACGAGAUCUUUGAGACCUCUGACGGACGGAUCUACAUCAUCAUGGAGCUUGGCGUCCAGGGCGACCUCCUCGAGUUCAUCAAGUGCCGGGGAGCCCUGCAUGAGGACGUGGCACGCAAGAUGUUCCGACAGCUCUCCUCCGCCGUCAAGUACUGCCACGACCUGGACAUCGUCCACCGGGACCUCAAGUGCGAGAACCUUCUCCUCGACAAGGACUUCAACAUCAAGCUGUCUGACUUUGGCUUCUCCAAGCGCUGCCUGCGGGACAGCAAUGGGCGCAUCAUCCUCAGCAAGACCUUCUGCGGGUCGGCAGCAUAUGCAGCCCCCGAGGUGCUGCAGAGCAUCCCCUACCAGCCCAAGGUGUAUGACAUCUGGAGCCUGGGCGUGAUCCUGUACAUCAUGGUCUGCGGCUCCAUGCCCUAUGACGACUCCGACAUCAGGAAGAUGCUGCGUAUCCAGAAGGAGCACCGUGUGGACUUCCCGCGCUCCAAGAACCUGACCUGCGAGUGCAAGGACCUCAUCUACCGCAUGCUGCAGCCCGACGUCAGCCAGCGGCUCCACAUCGAUGAGAUCCUCAGCCACUCGUGGCUGCAGCCCCCCAAGCCCAAAGCCAUGUCUUCUGCCUCCUUCAAGAGGGAGGGGGAGGGCAAGUACCACGCUGAGUGCAAACUGGACACCAAGACAGGCUUGAGGCCCGACCACCGGCCCGACCACAAGCUUGGAGCCAAAACCCAGCACCGGCUGCUGGUGGUGCCCGAGAACGAGAACAGGAUGGAGGACAGGCUGGCCGAGACCUCCAGGGCCAAAGACCAUCACAUCUCCGGAGCUGAGGGCUGAUGAAAGCUCCCAGCAGGACCACACGCCUAAAGAUGCCUCUUAGGGAUGGGUCAAAGAGGACGUGGAGGAAAGAGAAGAUGGAGGGGGCCUCUCAUCCUGUCCAUGUGCGGCCAUGCUCUGGAUAGAGGAGCUGCCACAGUACCCACUGCAGAACCCCGCGGACCUGCCCUGGACUCUGCCACGUGGGCCAUGCCUCCACACGGUCAGGGCAGGGGCCGAACAGGAGCAGGCCAGAGCCACCCUCCCACUUCCCCACCAGCCAGGCGGCCCCUCACCUGGCCAGAUUCUCCGUCACUCUCCGCAAGGCUUCCUGCUUCUUGGCCCGGUUCUUGGCAGCGGCCUCGUUGGCCAUCUUCAGCCCCAGCCGCUCCCUGCGGCCUGGCUCCAGGAUCUACAAGGUAGCAGAAUUUCUCUUUUUACUGUUGGCCUGGAGACUCGGGAAGCAGCGGCAGGCAUACCUCAGAAGCACCUCAGCCCUUGCCUUGCGCUCUCACAUUGGACAGCACGGCAUCCUCUUCAUUAUCCCUCUUGCACGUUUGCCGUGGUUAUCCUUGUGUCCCAGACAAUUUAGAACCAAGGUAACCAGAACCUCUCCCCAUGUUUUGUCUGAACAUGGGUUACCUCUACUAAGUAUCCUGGGGAAAGGCCCGCAGUGGUAUGGGGAGGCCUGUUGUAUCUGACCCAGCCCACGAAGAGCCUCCCCUGGUCUGUGCCGGGCCUCACACACUCCACCCUGACCACUCCUACAACACCAGGCUUGAGCCGUGUAAUCCA